GGCAGGAUUUUGCUGAGGCUCUGACUCGUAUGACGCCUCGUGGAAUGUAGUGCUUGUGGCCACCAAAUGAGAGUCUAACGGCGCCAACUCAAACGAGUGAUUAACGGAUGGAGUGCCAAUAGCAUCGGAGAGCAUGGGUGCAAUUUGCUGAUCAUACAACUGGUUAACCUUCGACACCAAAUCAACGUCCACAAAAUAUAUCAACGAGUAUAGAAACGCGCCAGCAAUCAAGCCGACCGUUAAAAAUAAGAAAAAAAAACGACGUGGAAUCCUGGAUAACAUAAGUGCCAUCUUUAGGUUAUAACAAUUCUUCAGUAAAUCAAUUAGAAAUAAUGAAACAAUAACUGGAAAACUUUUUUUGAAAAAAAGGCUUUUCCGAAAUCUUAAACAACCACUAAAUCAGAUUGUAUUAAGGUCUUAUCGAAACGACCUAUAAAAUAACGAACGAAAUCUCGAGAUAUAAAAAUAAAUCAAAGGGUUAGAGGUAUAU